UGGGGAAUAUUGGACAAUGGAGGAAACUCUGAUCCAGCAAUUCUGUGUGUGUGAAGAAGGUUUUAGGACUGUAAAACACUUUUAGUAGGGAAGAAAAAAAUGACGGUACCUACAGAAGAAGCAACGGCUAAAUACGUGCCAGCAGCCGCGGUAAUACGUAUGUUGCGAGCGUGAUCCGGAAUUAUUGGGCUUAAAGGGCAUCUAGGCGGUAAGACAAGUUGAAGGUGAAAACCUGUGGCUCAACCAUAGGCUUGCCUACAAAACUGUUGAACUAGAGUACUGGAAAGGUGGGUGGAACUACACGAGUAGAGGUGAAAUUCGUAGAUAUGUGUAGGAAUGCCGAUGAUGAAGAUAACUCACUGGACAGAAACUGACGCUGAAGUGCGAAAGCUAGGGGAGCAAACAGG
rnacentral:rRNA from 1 species